rnacentral:lncRNA from 1 species
UGUAGAUUUUUUGCAUCAUGGGAUGUGCCAGCUUGCUCAUCUUCUUCCAUUUCAACUUCGCUACAUAUCAUCUUCCUAAAAAAGUUGAUUAUCUGCAUAAACCAUAUCAUCAGCAAUUGUAUAUAGUGAUGUUUGUCUAAUGAUAUUCUGUGUCACAUCACCGUCUAUUGUACCAAGCGGCUCCUUGGUAUGUCUAGAACUUAUUGGGCAUUAUCUAUAAUGUAAGGACUAGAGCAAACAAUCU